GAAAAAGGAGAAGAAUGAGAGGAAAUCCAGACAUCGGUUGCUUAAGUUACGAAAUCUGGAGAUAAUAUGAGGUGACACAAAUGAUGGACGGGUUGGAUGGCCUUCAUACAUCACAUGGCCCCAACUCUGUUUUGAGCGCAAUGAAUCGAGAAUACACUGUAAGUGAGUUCAGAACUGUGGUAGAUACUUUGAAUCAACUGGUACCUGAAAUACAGAUUGCAACAAAUA